rnacentral:lncRNA from 12 species
CUAGUGAAGACACGUAUGUUGCCUUGUCACUGAAAUCUCCAGAGCUGCCUUUCUUUCUUUCCUUCUGAAGUUUUACUUGUUCAGUUCUUCCUGGAAUUCUAUGAUAAAUCCCACUAUCUUUUCAAUACUUUUCUUCUUUAGCUUGAGCUACUCAGAGGUGGUUUCUAUUACUUGCAAAAGAAGCAUAAUGUUUCAGACGUACAGAUAGACAGCUGGAAGGAUUGGUGUGGCCAGAACUGAGUUAAUUGAAACUGAAAAGAAAACAAUAUGCCAAGUUGGGCAUAUGAAGGGACGUUUCUAAAAUACAAGCGAUUAAGGAAAACAAACCAAAGUGGACCUAGUGGCAUGGAUGAUGGAGCACAGAGUCAACUGGGAAUAAUAAGAAGAGCUCCCUUGCCAGGAGAAACCAUAGGAUCCACGCCAAUAUUCAAGAGAAGGUGAAAUGGUUUCUCUCCUGCCUCCUCACACGGCCAUACUAAUCCAGGUUUGGAGACACCGGGUUCUGCUCUCUCCUGAUGUUAGCCUAAAUCGUGGAGCGAGGGAAAGCCAGCAACAGGUAAGUAGAUUGAGUAAGCCAGAGAAAGACGAGUCUAUCUGAGAAAAGCGUUCCUUGGAACAUGCUUUUUGCAUAUCUCCUAUUACCUGGGCAUCUUACAUUGUUAGAACUGUCAGUUGUGUAUAUCUUUAAUAGCAAAGUCCUGAACCAGCCAUCCUGGACCUGAUUUGCCUCAUGAUUAUAUUGUUCAAAGGUUCCCCUGCCACUCAGUCAAUUACCCACCAAAUUUUGUAUUGACCACCCAAGCACUCAGGUCAAAUCAUUGUAUAAAAUGCUACAGGGCGGGAAUCCCUGGGUGGCUCAGCGGUUUAACACCUGCCUUCGGCUCAGGGCAUGAUCCUGAAGUCCUAGGAUCGAGUCCUGCAUCGGGCUCCCUGCUGAUGGAGCCUGUUUCUCCCUCUGCUUGUGUCUCUGCCUCUCUCUCUCUGUUUCUCUCAUGAAUAAAUAAAUAAAUAAAUCUUAAAAAAAAAUACUA